rnacentral:rRNA from 1 species
GACGAACGCUGGCGGCGUGCUUAACACAUGCAAGUCGAACGGAAAGGCCCUGCUUUUGUGGGGUGCUCGAGUGGCGAACGGGUGAGUAACACGUGAGUAACCUGCCCUUGACUUUGGGAUAACUUCAGGAAACUGGGGCUAAUACCGGAUAGGAGCUCCUGCUGCAUGGUGGGGGUUGGAAAGUUUCGGCGGUUGGGGAUGGACUCGCGGCUUAUCAGCUUGUUGGUGGGGUAGUGGCUUACCAAGGCUUUGACGGGUAGCCGGCCUGAGAGGGUGACCGGCCACAUGGGGACUGAGAGACGGCCCAGACGCCUACGGGAGACAGCAGUGGGGAAUAUGGCACAAUGGGCGGAAGCCUGAUGCAGCAACGCCGCGUGCGGGAUGACGGCCUUCGGGUUGUAAACCGCUUUCGCCUGUGACGAAGCGUGAGUGACGGUAAUGGGUAAAGAAGCACCGGCUAACUACGUG